CAGCCCUUGACAUGCCACGACGGUUUCCAGAGAUGGAUUCCUCCCCGCAAGGGGCGUGGACACAGGUGCUGCAUGGCUGUCGUCAGCUCGUGUCGUGAGAUGUUGGGUUAAGUCCCGCGACGAGCGCAACCCUCGCCCUUAGUUGCCAUCAUUCAGUUGGGCACUCUAAGGGGACUGCCGGUGAUAAGCCGCGAGGAAGGUGGGGAUGACGUCAAGUCCUCAUGGCCCUUACGGGCUGGGCUACACACGUGCUACAAUGGCGGUGACAGUGGGAUGCAAUGGAGCAAUCCUGCGCAAAUCUCAAAAAGCCGUCUCAGUUCGGAUUGUGCUCUGCAACUCGAGUACAUGAAGUUGGAAUCGCUAGUAAUCGCAGAUCAGCACGCUGCGGUGAAUACGUUCCC
rnacentral:rRNA from 1 species